rnacentral:rRNA from 1 species
GCUUAGCCCUUAACACAAAUAAUAUAAACACAAUAUUAUUCGCCAGAGAACUACAAGCGAAAAGCUUAAAACUCCAAGGACUUGGCGGUGCUUCAAACCAACCUAGAGGAGCCUGUCCUAUAAUCGAUACCCCACGUUUCACCUUACCCCUCCUAGCAAACCAGCCUAUAUACCGCCGUCGUAAGCCUACCUUGUGAAAGAAACAAAGUAGGCAAAAAAGUUAAUAACAAAUACAUCAGGUCAAGGUGUAGCACACGGAGCGGCAGAGAUGGGCUACAUUUUUCCAAAGCUAAAACACGAAUAGAAAACUGAAACACACGCUUGAAGGCGGAUUUAGUAGUAAAAUAAACAAGAAUAAUUAUUUUAAACCUGCUCUGAAGCGCGCACAC